GUAUAAAUACAGAUCCAACACUUCCUUCCAUACAUAAGAGGAUUACAACUUUGGAUUAUAGUUAAUAUCUUGUUAAUUUAUAAAUUAGUUCAAAGAUAAUACAAUGAUGAGAGGAUUAGAAUCGAAAACUGCAUCCACUAUUCUCUUUUCUGUGCUGAUUUUCCUUAUUUUCAUCAAUGGCGAAGCUCGAAGUGACAAAGAAUUCUGUUCUUCUGCUCCUUCCUGUGGGGAAAUCCGAAACAUCAGCUACCCUUUUCGCCUAAAGGAAGAUCCGUCAGGCUGCGGCGACCACGAUUACGAACUCUCUUGUGUCAACAACAAAACAAUCUUGGAAAUUUCUCCAGAAAAUUCUAUGUGACAAGCAUUUCGUACGACGAUCAAACACUCCGUCUGGUUGAUGCCAACUUCGCCGAUGCCAAUGACAGCUGCAGCCUUCCGUCUGGUUCUGUAUUAACAACGGAUGGAUUUCUCAAAGAUAUACGAUUUAGACGUGUCUCAGACCCUGAUAGCCGUUUCAGAUUCCUACACUGCUCAAGAAACAUCAGCAGCGUGCCGGAAGCUGCUAAUCACACAGCAAUUCCUUGCUUGACAAGAAACGGGACUUAUGUCUACACUGUUUAUGAUGGCGAAUACUCGUAUUAUUCUCCUCAACCGUCAUGCUCUGUCAUUUCGUUGGUGUCGGUCUUCGUAAAGGUGUUACGAAGUUCAAUUCUUAUGAGGACGUCAUGGAACUAUUGAAAGCUGGCUUUGAAGUUGGAUGGUCGCUUCAGUGCAGGGAUUGCGCUCUGAAAGGUAAACCCUGCGUAGUAACCUCGAGGGUUAACCCGAUCACCUACAGGUGUGAAAGAGGUCUAAUUGCUCUGGGGGUUGCCAUUGCUAUAUUGGUAUUCGUUAUCCGAAGAUGUCAGAGAAGACGAAAUGCAGCUGAUAACACCGCGAAGAGUCUGCCGAAUUAAGUAUUAAUCCUUGACGCCAACAAUCAGCCAGUCUUGAACCACAUCACGAACCCUUACCCUAUUCACCCUUUAUGUGUGUGAUUAAAAAGUUUGAUUCAAUUUUUUUCUUCGUUCUAUUUUCGUGUACAAGGAGAUUGUAAUGUUCUGUAUUCAACUUGUAUGUGGAAUCCAAAACUAUUUCGUAAUGUUCUAAUCCAUGAAGUCGAAAAAGAGUGUGACCGUAACCUUGAAGAUUA